CUACGGGGGGCUGCAGUGGGGAAUAUUGGACAAUGGGGGAAACCCUGAUCCAGCAAUGCCGCGUGUGUGAAGAAGGCCUGCGGGUUGUAAAGCACUUUCGGUUGGGAGGACUGCUUCUAGCACUAAUAUUGUUGGAAGUUGACGUUACCUUCAGAAGAAGCACCGGCUAACUCCGUGCCAGCAGCCGCGGUAAUACGGAGGGGGCAAGCGUUAAUCGGAAUUACUGGGCGUAAGGCGCGCGUAGGCGGCUAGAUCAGUCGGGUGUGAAAGCCCCGGGCUUAACCUGGGAACUGCAUCCGAUACUGUCUAGCUUGAGUACAGGAGAGGAGGGUGGAAUUCCACAUGUAGCGGUGAAAUGCGUAGAUAUGUGGAGGAACACCAAUGGCGAAGGCAGCUCUCUGGCCUGAUACUGACGCUGAGGUGCGAAAGCGUGGGGAGCAAACAGGAUUAGAUACCCCGGUAGUC
rnacentral:rRNA from 1 species